GAUGAACGCUGGCGGCGUGCCUAAUACAUGCAAGUCGAGCGAACAGACCAGGCUCUUUCUCCGCUUACGUUGCCAGCGGGCGGGUGAGUCACACGUGACUAACCUAUCUAUAAGACUUAAAUCACUUCGGGAAACCGGAAUAACUACCGGGUAAUAUAUUGAACCGCGUGGUUCGUUGGUGAAAGACGGUUUUGCUGUCACUUAUAGAUAGAUCCUAGCGGCAUUAGCUAGUUGGUAAGGUAACGCCUUACCAAGACGACGAUGCGUAUCCGACCGGGGAGGGGGAUAGGCCACCCGGGAAGGGAGACACGGUCAAGACUCCUACGAGAGGGAGCAGUAGCGAAUCGUACGCAGUAGGCGAGAGCCUGACGGAGUGACGCCGCGUGAGAGAUGAAGGCCUUCGGAUCGGAAAAAUCUGUUAUGAGUGAAGAACAAAUGUGUAAGUAAAUAUGCACGUCGUGACGGUACCUAAACAGAAAGCCACGGCUAACUACGUG
rnacentral:rRNA from 1 species